CUUGAUCAAGAUAGGAAAUGGCCCUUCCUAUCAAGUCCUGGGAGUCAUCCUCCGAACUUGGAAGGCAGGGUAGUGCAUACCUUUUCUUCUCAGCUCUGGAUUCUGGGGAUCAUUUCCCUUUCAGGAUAAACAGGGAAGGUCCCACACGUCACCUUCUCCUGCCAAGGCCUGCCACCCUUUCCCUACAAGCCGCAGUGCUAACCUUUUUCCCUCAGUUAGUCUUGUACCCCUCUACUAGCUAGGAAUUAAGAUUCCCUGCCUUUUCAGAGCAGGAAGUAAUCCAACCAAGAUCACAUAGCCGGAAGUGGUAAGCGGAGACUCAGCACCCUGACCGGCCUGUCCCCAGUCAGCAAAUUUUUCAGCAUCCAGAGGGUGACCUCCAGAGUACCAGACCUGGGCUCACUGCCCCUCUGCAUUUGCUUGAUGGAAACCCCUUCUCUGUCCCGGAGCCUCUGGUCGGAGAGCCCUCUGAGCUCCUGGGACCGGAGGAUGCUGGGUCUUGCGGCGAUUUCUGGCCCCAGUGAACAGAAGAGGCCCUGUGCUGAGCAUCCCUAUGGAGAAGGGCGUGUAGCAGAGGAACCGAAGCCGCCUGCCAAGAGCCGUAUGAGCGAGCUUGCGGGAAGUGGGUCCUUCAGUCCCAGUCAAAGCCUUCAGGUGUCUGCAGCCUUGGCUUGCUGCUUGAUCACAAACUCAUGAGAGACCUUGAUCCAGGGUCCCCCAGCUAAGCAGCCUUCCGAUUCUGCCUCUCAGAAGUUGUGUGGGAUGAUAAAUGCUUAGUGCUUUAAGCCAUUACAUUUCGGGAAUUAUUUGUUCGGGAGCUCUAAGUGAUGAAUACAAUAUUUCAGUAAACUGAACAUGUGGGGAGAACAGCUUCUAAGUGUGCUUGGCCCAGCUGGCUUUCCAGAGGACCUCCAAGUGCUUUCUAUGACUCAGACUUCUGGGCUCAGUGUCUGGAACAGGGAGAUGAGCGGCCUGGAGCUCUGUCUAGACAUCAGGAAUGGGUGUCUCCAACAUAGCCACGGCAUCUACCCCCGGCCCCAGCUCCGAAACAGCUGCACACGGCACCCAGCCUGCAACUGCUGUGGGGAGAAGACUCCAGAAAUGUUCCUCCAUCCCUCGCCCGCACCCCCCCGGCCUCAUGCCCAGGUCUACCUGCAGGAAUCCACACAGGCCUCAGAAGCGAAUCACAGCUACUAUUUUUGGAACACUUCUUAUGUGACAGGUGAUAUGCAAAGCACCUGGCGUGCAUCUUUUAAUUUAUUCUUCCCACCAUAUCAGAUAUUCCUGAAUCUAUUUUACAGUGGAGGAAACAGAGACCCUGAAGCCACCUGCCUUGGAUCCUAGAGCUACUAGGGCGUGGCUGCUUUAGACUUCCAUUUGGAUUUGUCUAGUUCCCCCACUGAGAGGCCAGGAAGCAACCCUAGACCUGAAAAUACUUUUCUUAUCUGUUCUCUGGGAGAGAAAUCCCCUGCGCAUUCCUCCAUCAGAGAAAAGGCCACAAUCUCAACCCAGAUUCCCCAGACCAAUGAUAUAAAGAGC